rnacentral:rRNA from 1 species
GAUGAACGCUGGCGGCGUGCCUAACACAUGCAAGUCGAGCGAAAAGACGAGGAGAUUGUUCCCUUGCCGGUAGCGGCGGGCGGGCGAGUAACGAGUGGAUCACCUACUUCUAUUUCUGGGAUAAUUUCGGGAAACAGGAGCUAAUACUACCUCAUAUAUUGAACCGCAUGGUUCAAUAGUGCUAGACGGCUUUGCUGUCACAUAUAGCUGGAUCCGCGCCGCAUUAGCUAGUUGGUAAGGUAACGGCCUACCAAGGCUACGAUGCGUAGCCGACCUGAGAGGGUGAUCGGCCACACUGGAACUGAGACACGGUCCAGACUCCUACGGGAGGCAGCAGUGGGGAAUAUUCCGCAAUGGGCGAAAGCCUGACGCAGCAACGCCGCGUGGGUGAUGAAGGUCUUCGGGUCGUAAAGCUCUGUUGUUAGGAAAGAACAGAUGUAGAAUUAUCUAUGCACGUCUUGACGGUACCUAAUCAAAAAGCCCCGGCUAACUACGUG